GCAAGCUCCGCCCCCGCGGGUUCACGCCAUUCUCCCGCCUCAGCCUCUGGAGCAGCUGGGACUACAGGCGCCCGCCAUCACGCCCAGAAAAAUAGAAUAUAAAAACUUCUCUACUCCUGACUCACCAACGCACCAGAACAACUUUUAGUCCUGCAAUCAUGAAGCAUUGAUUGAACAUCUUCUACAUAUUAUCACCACCCUAGACACUACAACAACAAAGAAGGUAAGUACUUAACUACAAAGAGCUCAAUACAAUCAUUUCUAAUAAAGAACUAUGAAAAAAUUGCUGCCACAACCUGGAAGAGCCAUAAACCAGGCUUUGUGGAUGGAUUCAGAUUUUCCUAUAUGGAAACAAAAGAGCUACAAAAGCUUCUCUUUCCUGUGCGCAACUACCGUCUUUAUUCAAUGAAGACACUUAAUUGUCUAAUACUGCAGGCUCUCAAAGUGAAUAUAAAGAAGUCAUUAACAAUAGAGAUUAGAAUAAACUAAAAACAAAAAUAAUAAAUUCAGAAAUAUUUCUUUAAUCCUUGCAUAAAAGUCAUAUUUGAUAUUAUAAUCAUGAAAUAAAUCAAAUCAUAUUUCCCCACAACCCACAUUAUGUUCCUUCAGUUAAAUAGAUACUUAGUAGAUGUGGUCAUUAACAGCCAUUACUUUAAAAACAUACUGCAUUUGCAUUUAACAGAUGUUUAGUGAGUGCCAAGUGUUGAAGGUAUUAUUUUGGAAAUUAACAUUUAUGAUGGGAGAUUCAUAAACUGUUGUUUCAGCUAGAAAGUGAAUCUCUUCUAGAUAAUUGAUAAAGCAUAGAAAACAUAUGUGUGAUUUUUGUACCCAAAGAUCAAAUUGGGUUUUCUUCUAUUUUCUAUUUCCUGUGCCUACAUAAUAUUUCUCCCUAAACUUCACGAUGUUGAAAUAGGAUAUUUAAGCCUCUAGGUGUUCAUAGACUCCUGAACUAAUGGGACUUAACUUGGCCAACUGGACUUUUAUUUUUUCAAGUUAAUAUUAUUCACCAUAAUGUACUCAGUAAAAUAGAGGUACAAAUCUACCCAAAGAUAAUAAAAGUAACUGUUCUUUUGUACAAUUUUGCAUUAACAGAUAUGGUGAUUAAAAAACAAAUGGGUGAUUAUAAACACAUAAACCCACAUUAAGAGACUAUGAAUAAGGCUGAUAUAUUUGACACUGUGCUUAUGUUGUAAUAUCUUUAAAAUUGUCUUUAGGGGCACUGGAGCCAGAGCACAUCCUUAUAAGUUAGGUUGCUGAUAUUUUUCCCUAAGAGAUUUGAUGUUCCUGCUGUCAUUCAUCCUAGACAACUAAGACCUUGAGCUGGCAAGCUUUUUUAAAAGCUGGAGAGUAAACUUGCUCUAUGGGUCUUGGUGGAAGCGGGAGAUAGAGAAGAGAAAGGAAACCUUCCAGACUCUAAGUGGUUUUAGAUGUUAAGGGGUGGGAGGGAUACUGUGAUCUUCCCUAAGUGACAUAGAACUGAUAUAAACCAAAGAACUGGUCUAGUAAGAGAUCCCAAGACAGAUCUGGAAUUGGCAGUAGUUUUUGCUUAACUUAUUAUUCUCCCAUAUCAUUUUACCUACCUUCUGUUUCCUUAAAGUCAAUACUAGUUUCAAUUUGUGGAAAGCUGGAAAUGCGAUGAUUCCCAUGCCCUGAGUUUCUGCUCCAGACACCAGGUGGGGGCAUGGCAAUUGUGACUGGAGAGAGUGGAGGGGUCAUCUUAUCCGCCACAUCAGAAGCUGAGGUUAGGAUAUUGUGGCAAGAGAUGAAAAGUGAAGUGAUGUGAGGAAACUUCAUCCUGAAUUCAACUAAAGCCCUGGAAUACUUGUUCAAAUAACCAGCUGACAACUUGGGGUUAAGCUGUCUUGAAUUUAACCUGUUUAGCUCAGCCAAUACAAUUAUGAAAUAAAAAGUUAACAGUCUACUAUUUUGUAGUCCCUGGAUAAAGAGGCCUAAAUGGUAUCCUGUAAAGUUAUGCAGAGUACUAUCUGCAUAGAUCUAGUCAAUGACCUUGGCUAGUAGCAUCAUUUGGUUUCCAGCUUUAUGUGCAUCAAUUCUUCUUUAUAUGCAGUAGUUAAUUUAAUGCACCAUAUAUCUUAUCUCAAACUCCUUGGGAAACAUUUGAAUUUAGUUAUUUUCCAUUCUACUAUUGAGAAUCUGUCUUCACAAGUCACAUAGCACUGUUACAAACAAAAAUCACUUGGCAUACACAAUCCAAAUUAAGUAUACAUUUUGCCUGUGUUGCUAUUUCAUGGUAAAUUUUAUUUUCCAUUUUCUUAUUUUCAUUUUCUGUCUUUUAUUACCUUAUGAUGACACUGAAAUGCCUAAAGAAGUAGAUAAAUAUCUUGUUCUAACUUUGCUGAUUAAAAAGAAAACAGUUAAGCCUUGUACAUUUCACAGUAAUGAAGAAAGACUCACAAACAUCUUAUCAGGUCUGAAAAUUUGUCACCAGAUGUAUGUGGAAACUGUCUUGGUGAACCUGCCUUCAUGCAAAUUUGAAACAUCUUAUUAAACUUAAAAAUAAACAUUGUCUCUUUUUCUUAUUUAUUAAUAAUGUAGUUUUGUUUUAUGAUUCAAAUUUUCUUUAGAAAGUGGCUUUAUAAUUGCACAGGAGACAAGAAUUAAUUCUACUGGGGCUUUAUAUCAAAAUGCUUCAUUUCUAAGUGGAUGAUGUUUUUUGUGUAUGCAUCUUGUGCCUAUUUUUUGUUAAUGGUAUAAUCUAUCUUUUCCUCAAUUUGAUAGAGGAAGCUGGCAAUUAAGAAUCUAAUUUUGUACUUUCUUUUGCCAAAGCUUCCUUCCAUUUUAACUCAUGAAUUUUUUUUUCUUUUUUUUUGAGACGGAGUCUCUGUCACCCAGGCUGGAGUGCAGUGGCAUGAUCUCAGCUCACUGCAACCUCCACCCUCUGAGUCAAUUCUCCUGCCUCAGCCUCCCAAGUAGCUGGGAUUACAGGUGCCUGCCACUGCGCUGGGCUAAUUUUUUGUAUUUUUUAGUAGAGAUGGGGUUUCACCAUCUUGGCUAGGCUGGUCUUGAACUCCUGACCCCUUGAUCCACCCACCUCAGCCUCCCAAAGUGCUGGGAUUACAGGCAUGAGCCACCGCGCCUGGCCGAAAUUUUUAACUUAACACACCCGAACCUACAUCCCCAUCCCAAACAUUUUUGUUUCUCUGGGUUUUCUUAGCCUUAGCCUGUUUAAAUGAGUAACCGUGCAUGUUCAUUAUACAAAACUUGUACCCCUUCUGGUAGAUGUCCAAAUGGAAGCUGGAUAUUCCUAUCUUUUGCUUGUCAGGGUACCUUCCAGAUGACUGCUCGUUUCAUAUUCUCUUCCUUUAACACUUGUGGUUUUUUUUUUUUUCCUAAUUUAAAAUUAUUUUGACCUUUUGGUAGUCUAAUUUGCUUACUCUAAAAAAAUAAACUUGGGCUUUGAACUGCUUUUAAUUGUACCUUUUGAUUUUUCCAUUAAUGUUUUUUAAUCCUCCCCAACUCCAAAUGCUUAACAAAAUUGUAAUAACCUAGAUAUUGUUAACCAUCAAAGCCCUAUUUAAUUAUUCAUUUGACCUCCAUUUCCCUCUGCCUUUGCCAUUCACCCAUUCUAAAGUACAUUUUAGACACUUCAGAAUUUAGAGUCCACUCAUUUCAACCCGUUUAUAUUCUUCCUACACAGUCUACAUACAUCUAGAAACUAAUGACAUAACCUUACAAAUGAGAAAACUGCAUAAUGAAAGCUAAAAUGUCCUGUCACAUCCUCUGGUAACUUACUCACCUAGAUAGCUAUAAAUAACAUUGUUAAAAUGACCUAUGGCAUUUCCUUCUAUUGGGAGCACUAGAGGCUUUCCGUGUAUGCAACUGAAAAAUAAUUGUGUUCUUUAUAAUUCUACAUUCCAGAUUGUUCUGGCUGCUAAUAUUAGAAAGAAAAUAAAACUUCUUGGUAAUACAUUUCUCAAAAACAUGAAUUCAGAAUAUAACAUGGGUUAGCAAUUAGCAAUUUGGCCAUCUACUUUCUUUAAUAUUAAAAUAACAGAACCCCUCAUUUUGCACGAGUAAAAUAUUUUUGUACACCACCUCCAGUAUUAAGGUUUCAUCUUUACUUAGAGCGCAGUUAACUCACUGUACAUGUGCAAUUAAAUGCAUCAUUCUCAUUUUCUAAAGUUUCAAAAUCAUUAUGAUAAAGUUGUAACAUAAGUAGUAAAUGAAGUAGAAAAAGAAAGAUCUACUACAGGUCAAUCUCUCAGUCAAUAAAAUUGAUACAAUUUACGUUUAAAUCUUGCCUUUUACCCUAGACUCUUAUUACAUGUAAAGGAAAAAUAUUCUAAAAUAUCAGAUGAAGGCCUUUUGAUAUUUCUAUGAUGACAGUCUCAUAAUUAUCACCCCCACUGGCACCCAAUCAGUACUACCAAAGGCGAGUGUUGCUUCAGGGAAACGUGGCUCCUGCCCAGACUGAAGUCAUCAUUGCUUAUUUUGGUGCCUGAACGCUGACCUCAUAGAGUCUCUAGCAAAACAAUACUUUUGAAAGUCAUACUUUCUUAAGAAAGAAGUCUUCUAAACUCUAAAAGUUCCUCUUUAAUAUUAGUCAAACAUAGUUUACUUUAAUCAUACAAUCUCACCAUAGGUAGUGUGAUGACAAGGACAGUCUUGAUUUCAGCCAAAAUUUUGUUCAUUCAUUCAUCCAGUUUACCAUUUGCCCUUCUUUUUACUUUCAAUACUAUUCCAUUUUCAAGACUAAUUUAUCUAUUUACUUUAACUAUACGGAUGGAUAAGGAAGAUAAUGUAAAUGAAGAUUCUAUGAAACGUGAAUUCAUGAUUGAAAGCUCUUCUAUUGUUGAAAAGAAGAGUAAAAAUUGGCAGAACAAAAGGUCAGACAUGGGUAUCCCUGGUGUCAACCUCACCUGGUGGUCAACCUGAUGGGAGAGAAUGGUAGACAUAGCCAAAUAGGUUUAAUAUAAAAAACUAAUGCAUGUGUGUUUUGAGGUG